AUUGAACGCUGGCGGCAGGCCUAACACAUGCAAGUCGAGCGGAGCGGCGGACGGGUGAGUGAUGCCUAGGAAUCUGCAUGGUAGUGGGGGAUAACGUCAGGAAAUGGGCGCUAAUACCGCAUACUCUCAGAUGAGCCUGGGUCGGAUUAGCUAGUUGGUGGGGUAAAGGCCUACCAAGGCGACGAUCCGUAACUGGUCUGAGAGGAUGAUCAGUCACACUGUAACUGAGACACGGUCCAGACUCCUACGGGAGGCAGCAGUGGGGAAUAUUGGACAAUGGGCGAAAGCCUGAUGCAGCCAUGCCGCGUGUGUGAAGAAGGUCUUCGGAUUGUAAAGCACUUUAAGUUGGGAGGCGUUACCAGCAGAAUAAGCACCGGCUAACUACGUGCCAGCAGCCGCGGUAAUUC
rnacentral:rRNA from 1 species